rnacentral:rRNA from 1 species
CCUACGGGUGGCAGCAGUGAGGAAUAUUGGUCAAUGGCCGUAAGGCUGAACCAGCCAAGUAGCGUGAGGGAAGACUGCCCUAUGGGUUGUAAACCUCUUUUAUGCGGGGAUAAAGGUGUCCACGUGUGGAUGUUUGCAGGUACCGCAUGAAUAAGGACCGGCUAAUUCCGUGCCAGCAGCCGCGGUAAUACGGAAGGUCCGGGCGUUAUCCGGAUUUAUUGGGUUUAAAGGGAGCGUAGGCCGGUCUUUAAGCGUGCCGUGAAAUUUUGUGGCUCAACCAUGGGAGUGCGGCGCGAACUGGAGACCGUGAGUGCGCGGAAGGCAGGCGGAAUUCGUGGUGGAGCGGUGAAAUGCUUAGAUAUCACGAAGAACCCCGAUUGCGAAGGCAGUCUGCCGCAGCGUUACUGACGCUGAAGCUCGAAAGCGCGGGUAUCGAACAGGAUUAGAGACACUUGUAGUC